UACGUAGGUGGCAAGCGUUGUCCGGAUUUAUUGGGUUUAAAGGGUGCGUAGGCGGCCCCAUAAGUCAGUGCUGAAAUACUCUAGCUCAACUAGAGGGGUGGCAUUGAUACUGCGGGGCUUGAGUGGAGUCGAGGUAGGCGGAAUUGACGGUGUAGCGGUGAAAUGCUUAGAUAUCGUCAAGAACACCGAUAGUGUAGACAGCUUACUAGGCUUCAACUGACGCUGAGGCACGAAAGUGUGGGGAUCAAACAGG
rnacentral:rRNA from 1 species